UCCGGCAUGAAUUACUACAGAAACCAUGCGCUCAACAAGCUUAGGAAGUAAAUUAAGUAUCACAUCCUGUUUCAUAUUUGGUCAUUGCGGCACCUGUACUUUCUGAUACAUUCCUGAUGAACGCUCAGAAAACUCAAUCCUGAAUUUUUUUGGCAUCAGCUGCUCUAUCUUUCAAGCGUAUCUUCUGCUGAAGAGAUGGAUUUCCAGAUUCAGCUUUCAGUUUCUCGACCUGUCAACAUACAUUUCUAAUGAGGGAUUUGUCUGAAUAAGGUGUACAUGCCCCAAGCGUGGUGAUGCCUCCAGUAUGACUCCACGCGGCUCUUCUGUGAGGAGGCGCUCAGGAACGUGUUCUUGUCUUACACAGCGGAUACAUCACAUCAGCAGCCCCAGGAACAAAGGAUGACAGUGCAUUUAGCAGAAAGUUCUAGUUCUUUUUAAUCAAAAAAAAGGAAAAAGAGGUUUCUCAAGAUGAAUGUUUAUUAACACCCUGCUUUAACUACACAAGCUCUGGAGAUGAUUUAUAAUAAAUGUGUAACUCAAAAUUAUAAAAUAAAAUAGAAUAUUGAAAUCAUGGAAACCAUCAAUCAGAACAGAUCAAGAACAGAGAAAAAAGGAACAGUGAAAUAAAAGUUCUCAACAGCUGAGAACAGCAUUUAUAUGAAAUGCCAACUUACCUACUUCUGCAGAAUACAGACCUACUGGGAAGACUGAGUAAAAAGCACACUAGAAUGGUAAUUCUAAUGCAGUACAUACGAGGGAUGACAUGAAUGACUGCGAGACCCUACAUCAAAGGAAAGCCAAACCAAGCAAGACUGAGACUGCUUCUGUGCUAGAAAAAAAAUAUAAAUUUCUAAAUGGCCUUUUUGUGGUAUUUUUUAAUCAAUAAUAUUUUAUAAAGUCAACAUGCAUUUGAAGCAGGGAAAAUAUUUUAUUCAUUUCUAGUAGAAACGAAAGAAGUAAUUGUUAUUUAUGUUAAUGACGCAUGGGGUGUAAAUAUUAAAAACCAUAAAUUUCAUCACAGUAUAGGAAAACUUUAAGGUAGAACAGGAACAUCACUAAGAUUUUGAAAUAAAUCAUUUCUGUGGUUUAAAACACCUAAAUGCAAUAGAACAUUUCAGACAAGUGGAUCUUAAAACUAUGGGAAUCCCUUAAGGAAACGUCCUAAAUGUGGUUAAAUAUCAGCAUAUUCUGGGGGUUCGAAAAAAUAUAGUCAUUGCUGCUUUCAAACUAAUAAAUGGUCAAUUAGAUAAUUUAAUUUCAUAAUUUAUAAAAUGAGAUUAAAAAAAUUAAUAGGUUACCAUUUCCAUAAAAGUAAGGUAGAAUGAUUUUUGGUAAUUGUUAGAAGCCUUAAAAGUAGCUAGAAUCAUUAGAAAAUAAAAUAAUUCUUUGGCUCUUUGUGGUAGCAGAACCUGACUAGAUGCUCAUCAAAACUUGCCUGUGCCAGUUAAACUACGUUUGCUCCCUCCCUCGAAUCUGGAUGGGUCCGUUUUCUAGUCCUUCCCUUUAGAAUGGGAGUGCUCUGGUGACAAGAACCUCAGAUACGUGUU